rnacentral:rRNA from 1 species
GCGACCCCAGGUCAGGCGGGAUCACCCGCUGAGUUUAAGCAUAUCA